UACGUAGGGUGCAAGCGUUUGUCCGGAAUUAUUGGGCGUAAAGAGCUCGUAGGCGGUUUGUCGCGUCUGGUGUGAAAACUCAAGGCUCAACCUUGAGCUUGCAUCGGGUACGGGCAGACUAGAGUGUGGUAGGGGUGACUGGAAUUCCUGGUGUAGCGGUGGAAUGCGCAGAUAUCAGGAGGAACACCAAUGGCGAAGGCAGAUCUCUGGGCCGUAACUGACGCUGAGGAGCGAAAGCAUGGGGAGCGAACAGG
rnacentral:rRNA from 1 species